AGUCGGUAAAUGUUGUCUUGUGUCAGCAGCUUGGUCCGGUUCUCCACUGGUCCCAGUCUGAAGCUCCACACCACAGCCUCUCCUAUGAUGGCAGCGACGGUGGAGCAGUUUGAGCAGGCCAAGAACAAACUGUCAACGCUGAAGAACGACCCGGGGAACGAGGC